GACGAACGCUGGCGGCGUGCUUAACACAUGCAAGUCGAACGGUAAGGCCCCUUCGGGGGUACACGAGUGGCGAACGGGUGAGUAACACGUGAGCAACCUGCCCUUGACUCUGGAAUAACAGUUGGAAACAGCUGCUAAUACUGGAUAUUCAUCGUCUCCUUCCUGGGGGGUGGUGGAAAGCUCCGGCGGUCAGGGAUGGGCUCGCGGCCUAUCAGCUUGUUGGUGAGGUAAUGGCUCACCAAGGCUUCGACGGGUAGCCGGCCUGAGAGGGCGACCGGCCACACUGGGACUGAGAGACGGCCCAGACUCCUACGGGAGGCAGCAGUGGGGAAUAUUGCACAAUGGGCGCAAGCCUGAUGCAGCAACGCCGCGUGCGGGAUGACGGCCUUCGGGUUGUAAACCGCUUUCAGUAGGGACGAAGGGUGACUGACGGUACCUACAGAAGAAGAACCGGCUAACUACGUG
rnacentral:rRNA from 1 species